UGUUCGCGGGAAAAACCCUCUCUCUCUCUCUCUCUCUCUCUCUCUCUCUCUGUGGAUGGCCUUUCGAUCUUUGUCACACAAUGCAUGAGCCUCCGCUCCCGCGAUCCUCGCUCUGUGCUCGCGCUCUCAAAUCCCGACUCUAGAUUUUAGUACUCUGGGAUAUUUUCAAAAAGACUUUCACGCUCGAGCUCGCUCGCAUUAUGUAACUUGGCUUUUGAUCCUGCUAUUACUCGUCGGUUAAAACUAGGCUUCUCAGCUUGGGGAAACGAAGGGAAACAAUGAAGAAAAAAGAGAUCGUGUUUCAUUGAGACCAUGCUUAGAUAAGAAGUGUAAAAGUGUAAGUACUUCGAUAGUUAUUUCUAUGUGAUUUACAUGCAAUUGACCAAAAGGUUUUCUAUGAGGAUCAAGUGUUAUUCAGUUUAAUUCUAGAGAUUUUGCGCAGAAGCAGCAAAAAGUUUUUUGUAGUGCGGAUGCCAGCUUUCAAUAAUACCAAGCAAUGGGAAUCUUGCCAAGAUGUGCAGAAUAGAUGCUGCAUGAGAAUAUCUGCGAAAAGGUUGGUGAGAAAGCAACCUUUAAGCUGAUUGCUGUAUGAUUGCAUCAAUACUCACAAGUUCUGAUUAUCUCUUGAGCACAUUCUUGAUGAGACAAGGAAUGCUUUUCAUGAAAGUCCCACAAGUAGCUGUUGUUGAUACGGUUGCAUU